AUUACCGUCCUAUAAUGGAACUGAUAAUGGAAUGUUUUUGUUUCAGUCAUGUUAAGAGGUUGGCUGCCCUGUCACUGUGACCUAAAUAUCCGGUGUACAAAAUCAAGGGCUCUUCCUCAACUUAAAGCAGUAGCAGCGCGCGCCUAGUGCCGAGACGGGACUAGACAGCUUUGAAGUUUGUUUUCAAGUCAUCAAAAUCCGGGCCCAGGUCAUAAAUGCAAUCCUUGGCUGCACCGUCAGGAUUCCAACUCUGAAGCCACGUGAGCAGUAACGGUGUGUGCUGUAUGGUGUCGACAGUAAGUGACAUUCGUGACUGAGGACCCAAACACAGAAGAACAAAUUCACGGACUUGGGUUACUCCACUGUGCGUCGUGUUCAGCCAUGAAGCCACUCUCGCUCUAAUUUACUUCUGCUGAACCAUUCAUCUAGGAUUCAAACCCACAAUUAAGGAUUAUAACAUUUUUAAAAUUAUAUAUUGCUACAAGGCUAAACGUUUAAUAAUAAUAGAUAACACAUGAGAGAUAACAACGUAUGAAGUGUUGUAAGAAAGUUGGCGUAUUAUCAGUGGUGUUCUCAUGUUACCCAGUGAAAUAAGUGAGUGACAGUGCGCAGUUAGAAAUGAGAAGUGAAGACUUGAUUCACUUGUGAAUUUUUAUUUCUCCUGGAGGAUUUAUAUAAAUCUGACCCUACGUUAUUACCCGUUUGACCCACCGCGAUGAUGGCUUGUGGUGAAACAACGGAAGGCACUUCUACAAGCAGGAGGAGGGGGACGUCAUCAAUCAUUCUCCUUCUGCUGCUCUUCUGUCGGGAC